rnacentral:rRNA from 1 species
AGAGUUUGAUCAUGGCUCAGGAUGAACGCUAGCGGCAGGCUUAACACAUGCAAGUCGAGGGGCAGCGCGGUGUAGCAAUACACUGGCGGCGACCGGCGAAAGGGUGCGUAACACGUGAGCAACUUGCCCCGGUCCGGGGGAUAGGAGGUGGAAACGCCUUGUAAUACCCCAUAACAACGGGAGUCGCAUGGCUUCUGUUUGAAAAACACGUUGGACCGGGAUGGGCUCGCGUCCCAUUAGCUGGUUGGCGGGGUAACGGCCCACCAAGGCGACGAUGGGUAGGGGUUCUGAGAGGAAGGUCCCCCACACUGGAACUGAGACACGGUCCAGACUCCUACGGGAGGCAGCAGUGAGGAAUAUUGGUCAAUGGCCGGAAGGCUGAACCAGCCAUGCCGCGUGCAGGAAUAAGGCCCUACGGGUCGUAAACUGCUUUUGCGGUGGAGCAAUAAGGUCUACGAGUAGACCGAUGAGAGUACAUCGCGAAUAAGCAUCGGCUAACUCCGUGCCAGCAGCCGCGGUAAUACGGAGGAUGCGAGCGUUAUCCGGAUUUAUUGGGUUUAAAGGGUGCGUAGGCUGUGCUGCAAGUCGGUGGUGAAAUAUCCGGGCUCAACCGGGAGGCUGCCACCGAUACUGCAGUGCUGGAAUACUGUUGCCGCGGGAGGAAUGAGUAGUGUAGCGGUGAAAUGCAUAGAUAUUACUCAGAACACCGAUUGCGAAGGCAUCUCGCGAAGCAGUUAUUGACGCUGAGGCACGAAAGCGUGGGGAUCAAACAGGAUUAGAUACCCUGGUAGUCCACGCAGUAAACGAUGAUGACUAACCGCUGGUAUCAAGGUAUCAGUGGCCAAGCGAAAGCGAUAAGUCAUCCACCUGGGGAGUACGACCGCAAGGUUGAAACUCAAAGGAAUUGACGGGGGCCCGCACAAGCGGAGGAACAUGUGGUUUAAUUCGAUGAUACGCGAGGAACCUUACCCGGGCUCGAACGGCAAGCGAACGAUGCAGAGAUGCAGAGGCCCUAUGGGCGCUUGUCGAGGUGCUGCAUGGUUGUCGUCAGCUCGUGCCGUGAGGUGUCGGCUCAAGUGCCAUAACGAGCGCAACCCUUGUCAGUAGUUACCAGCAUUUAGGAUGGGGACUCUACUGAGACUGCCACCGCAAGGUGAGAGGAAGGGGGGGAUGACGUCAAAUCAGCACGGCCCUUACGUCCGGGGCGACACACGUGUUACAAUGGCGGCCACAGAGGGGAUCGACUGGGUGACCAGGAGGGAAUCUCGAAAAGCCGCCUCAGUUCGGAUCGGAGUCUGCAACCCGACUCCGUGAAGCUGGAUUCGCUAGUAAUCGCGCAUCAGCCAUGGCGCGGUGAAUACGUUCCCGGGCCUUGUACACACCGCCCGUCAAGCCAUGAAAGCCGGGGGCGCCUGAAGUCCGUGACCGAGAGGAGCGGCCUAGGGCGAAACUGGUGAUUGGGGCUAAGUCGUAACAAGGUAGCCGUACCGGAAGGUGUGGCUGGAACACCUCCUU